GGGCGUUUAGCUCAGUUGGGAGAGCAUCUGCCUUACAAGCAGAGGGUCGGCGGUUCGAGCCCGUCAACGCCCA
rfam:Alicyclobacillus hesperidum TRH17-3-68 TRH17368ctg49, whole genome shotgun sequence.